rnacentral:rRNA from 1 species
UAGCCGUAAACGAUACUCGCUAGGUGUCGGCCACGGUGCGACCGUUGUCGGUGCCGUAGGGAAGCCGUGAAGCGAGCCACCUGGGAAGUACGGCCGCAAGGCUGAAACUUAAAGGAUUGGCGGGGGAGCACCACAACGGGUGGAGCCUGCGGUUUAAUUGGACUCAACGCCGGGAAGCUCACCGGAUAAGACAGCGGAAUGAUUGCCGGGCUGAAGACCCUGCAUGACCAGCUGAGAGGUGGUGCAUGGCGUAGUCGUGU